rnacentral:lncRNA from 1 species
UUACUGUGAGUUUACUGCUCUGAAUAAUGUAUAUCUGAUCAUGAAAAUGCACCUCCAUGAAAAAGUACUUAGGGUUAAUUCAUUGAAGACUAUAUUUGGUUUUUGUUGGUCAGGGCAUACCGUCUAAAAAAGAAACAAACAUCAUAUAUCUAAUUGAAUCAGGUAUUAAUAAAAUUUUUCUUUCCGAUAACAAAAGGAAAAAGAACUGAAGCAUGGACGGUAAAGGUUGAAACAACAUUCGUUAAGGGAAUUUAAUGCACCCCCAAUAAAACUAAAGCCAGUUGGAGAAUUUUUAAGCAAGAUUCAGGUUUAUGGGCUUCCAUUUAUUCUGAAAAAUAUCUUAAUGAUUGCUCUAUUAUUGAUCAAAAUUACAUUGCUCCUGCUGAUUGUUCUUCUACUUGGAGGAGUAUAGCUUAUGGUGCUAAAUUGAUGAGAAGUAAUUUAUCUUGGCGCAUUGGUGAUGGCAAGAUGGUCAAAUUCUGGUCUGAUACUUGGGUUUUGUCUGUGCCUCUUCUUCAGUUUGCUUUACCUCAUGCUGUCAUUAACUUGAGCUCUACUGUUUGUGAUUUUUGGUGUGAUACUGGGUGGAAUAUUGAAAUGCUUUCUGAUGUAGUUCCUCCUGAAGUUGUUAAUCAAAUUAUCAGCUUCCCUACUGGUUUUGAAGAUAGUGGUAAUGAUCAACUAAUUUGGAAGGCUACUUCUAAUGGAGUCUUUUCUGUCAAGUCUGCUUAUAUCUCUUCGUUUGAUAUGGCUGAGCCUCAACAUCAUUAUUGGAAAGUUGUUUGGAAGCUCAACUGCCUUCCUAAGUUAAAGACCUUUUUCUGGACUGUGCUUCACAAAAAAAUCCUUACUAAUGUUCAGAGAGUUAGAAGAAGAUUUACUACCUCUGCAGUUUGUCCCAUUUGCAACUCUGCUGAUGAGAGCUUACAUUCAGAGACUGUUACAGGUCUAAAGAGGUUUGGAAAUCUAUUUGCCCCUCUUCUCAUAUUUCUAACUCGUUUAUCUUGGGCUGGGAUAAUCUGGAUUUCUGCUCAAUUGUUUUGUCAAUCCAAGGUCAAGAAUGGUAUCAAAUGGUGCAACCUCUUUGUCUUUGUGUGCUGGUUCUUAUGGAAAUGGAGAAAUAAAAUUGUCUUUGAUUCUAGUUUUGUUAUGCCUGGAGAUCCUGCUUUAGUCAUUUGGAACUAUGUUGAGGAAUGGACUAGUGCUCAGUCUAAUCCAAGCAGUAGCAAUAUGUUCAAUGUCACUUAUCUUUCUUGGUUAAGACCUCCUGCAAAUUGUUUGAAGUUGAACAUUGAUGGUACUAGAAGUUCCUCUUCUGGAAAAAUUGGGGCUGGUGGGGUGCUGAGAGAUCAUGCUGGUAAUUGGAUCUUUGGUUGUCAGAUUAAUUUGGGGGUUGGUGAGGUUUUAUAUGCUGAAGCUUGGGGUUUGCUUUUUGGCCUGAAGCUGGUUGCUAAAUUUUAUUGUUCUGAUCUGGAGGUUGAGUCUGACUCUGCAGUUUUAGUGCAGCUUAUGCAGAAGAGGAGCUUUGAGUUGCACCCUCUUGGGUCUCUUCUCUCUGCUUGUUCUUCUUUUAUGUCCAAAAUGCCGAAUGUUAAGCUCUCUCAUAUUUUCAGAGAAUGCAAUAUGGUGGCUGACUCCCUUGCUAAAUGCAGCAUCACUCAUGAUCUUGGUCUUGUCACUUUCAACAGCCCUCCUGUGCAUGCUGUCCAGGCCUACCUUGAUGAUCUUGAUGGUGUAGUUAGAGCUAGAAGGACUGGAGUCUGUUCCAGUUCUUAGUCUUUUCUGUUUUUGUGUUUGGGUCUUUUAGGCCCCUCUUGUAAACAAAAAAAAAAAAGGGUUGAAACAACAUUCGUUAAGGGAAUUUAAUGCACCCCCAAUAAAACUGAAGCAUAAGAUGCAUUGUGUUCUCACUCUAAACAUAUAAAAAAUGACAAUUUCACUAAAGAAGAAGAAAUUUCAGAAAGAAAGAUUAAAACGGUAGCCAACAAUUUUUCUCAAACUCAACAAUUUUUCACAACUUUAUUUUGUUAUAAGAGAAUUAGAUUUAUUGUUUAUUUGUGAUUUUGAUGGUAGUUUUCCUUUAUUUUCAGUUCCUGCUUGAAAACAAAGAACUUGGUUCUGCUGUUUCUGUAGAUUUCUUGAAGUUUUGAACAAGCUGAGGUUCAUAGUUAUGUGCUACUUCUGCAUUCAAGAAGCUUAUUCAUUAAGGUACUACACUAUCUCUUAUUGCUCUUUAAAAAGCCUUCAUUAUCCUCUCAAUUAUCCAAAAGUGUAUCCAAUAACCUGUGUCCAUUGGUUUUGACUUGGUUGUAUCUAUAAUUUAAACUAUGU